rnacentral:rRNA from 1 species
GGGACACGUGGUAUCCUGUCUGAAUAUGGGGGGACCAUCCUCCAAGGCUAAAUACUCCUGACUGACCGAUAGUGAACCAGUACCGUGAGGGAAAGGCGAAAAGAACCCCGGCGAGGGGAGUGAAAAAGAACCUGAAACCGUGUACGUACAAGCAGUGGGAGCACAGGUUUACCUGUGUGACUGCGUACCUUUUGUAUAAUGGGUCAGCGACUUAUAUUCUGUAGCAAGGUUAACCGUAUAGGGGAGCCGGAGGGAAACCGAGUCUUAAUUGGGCGUUAAGUUGCAGGGUAUAGACCCGAAACCCGGUGAUCUAGCCAUGGGCAGGUUGAAGGUUGGGUAACACUAACUGGAGGACCGAACCGACUAAUGUUGAAAAAUUAGCGGAUGACCUGUGGCUGGGGGUGAAAGGCCAAUCAAACCGGGAGAUAGCUGGUUCUCCCCGAAAGCUAUUUAGGUAGCGCCUCGUGAAUUCAUCUCCGGGGGUAGAGCACUGUUUCGGCUAGGGGGCCAUCCCGGCUUACCAACCCGAUGCAAACUGCGAAUACCGGAGAAUGUUAUCACGGGAGACACACGGCGGGUGCUAACGUCCGUCGUGAAGAGGGAAACAACCCAGACCGCCAGCUAAGGUCCCAAAGUCAUGGUUAAGUGGGAAACGAUGUGGGAAGGCCCAGACAGCCAGGAUGUUGGCUUAGAAGCAGCCAUCAUUUAAAGAAAGCGUAAUAGCUCACUGGUCGAGUCGGCCUGCGCGGAAGAUGUAACGGGGCUAAACCAUGCACCGAAGCUGCGGCAGCGACGCUUAUGCGUUGUUGGGUAGGGGAGCGUUCUGUAAGCCUGUGAAGGUGGCCUGUGAGGGUUGCUGGAGGUAUCAGAAGUGCGAAUGCUGACAUAAGUAACGAUAAAGCGGGUGAAAAGCCCGCUCGCCGGAAGACCAAGGGUUCCUGUCCAACGUUAAUCGGGGCAGGGUGAGUCGACCCCUAAGGCGAGGCCGAAAGGCGUAGUCGAUGGGAAACGGGUUAAUAUUCCCGUACUUGGUGUUACUGCGAAGGGGGGACGGAGAAGGCUAUGUUGGCCGGGCGACGGUUGUCCCGGUUUAAGCGUGUAGGUGUGUGUUCCAGGUAAAUCCGGUUCACUUUAACACUGAGGCGUGAUGACGAGGCACUACGGUGCUGAAGCAACAAAUGCCCUGCUUCCAGGAAAAGCCUCUAAGCAUCAGGUAACAUCAAAUCGUACCCCAAACCGACACAGGUGGUCAGGUAGAGAAUACCAAGGCGCUUGAGAGAACUCGGGUGAAGGAACUAGGCAAAAUGGUGCCGUAACUUCGGGAGAAGGCACGCUGACACGUAGGUGAAGUGAUUUACUCAUGGAGCUGAAGUCAGUCGAAGAUACCAGCUGGCUGCAACUGUUUAUUAAAAACACAGCACUGUGCAAACACGAAAGUGGACGUAUACGGUGUGACGCCUGCCCGGUGCCGGAAGGUUAAUUGAUGGGGUCAGCGCAAGCGAAGCUCCUGAUCGAAGCCCCGGUAAACGGCGGCCGUAACUAUAACGGUCCUAAGGUAGCGAAAUUCCUUGUCGGGUAAGUUCCGACCUGCACGAAUGGCGUAAUGAUGGCCAGGCUGUCUCCACCCGAGACUCAGUGAAAUUGAACUCGCUGUGAAGAUGCAGUGUACCCGCGGCAAGACGGAAAGACCCCGUGAACCUUUACUAUAGCUUGACACUGAACAUUGAGCCUUGAUGUGUAGGAUAGGUGGGAGGCUUUGAA